GUGCUUCACCUUCCCUGCUCGGUGCUAAGGUCUACUGGCAUUAUCCAAAGGAGUGAUGUGCUGUUCAGUCUGUACACCCAGCAUGCCACAGGGUGCCAGGAAAAAGGAAACAUACUGGAGAAGGGGCGCAUGGAAAUUGAGGAAAAUCAGCAUGGUCUUCAAUAGACUAUUUUGUUUUGUUUGUGUUCAGGAUAACCUCUGUCCCUCAAUAAUAUGAGAAUCUCCCGCACCCUGGAGGAGGUGCUCAUGUCUGGAGUUUCUGAUCCUGGGUGGUGGUGAGCAAGAGGAUUUAUAUCACAGCAUGGUGUGUUGAGCUACUCAGACAUGAGGAUGUGCCUUCCAUGCCCUCAA